CACUUGUGGCAGAUGAUUUGUCCACCACAAGAAUGAAAAAUAUUGUGUUUGGAUAAUAGAUUAUUUGAAAUAAAUUUUUAAAAAUAAUAUUAUAAUAUUUUCUUGAUGUGAUUUAUGUGAUAUAAAAAGAUGAUGGUUGAAAAAUAUGUUAAUGAUAUCUUUAUUAAUCAAAAUUGCCGAUGAUGGACCUUAAAAUCUCUAGCCUUACAGCGUUGACUCCGACACUCAAUCAUUUCACCAAGUCUUAGCCACUUAGCAGUUUUCUGCAAAGGAAUUUGGAAUGGAAUCCUCGAGUACCUCGGCGAGCAAUCUGCUGCGCAAUAUUGGUUCAGCACAAUAGACCGGCAAUCUGCUUCAAGUUCAGGCUUAUAGUGUUGACUCCAAGAUUCAAUCGUUUCACCCAAGUCCCAACUUCUUAGCAGUUUUCUGCGAAGGAUUUUCGAAGGGAAUCCUUGAGUACCUCGGCCUGCAAUGUGCUGCGGACUAUUGCUGGGUUCAGCACAAUAGUUCGGCUUUUCAGGAGAAAUCUGCAUCAAAGUUCAGUGUUCAAAGCUCAGCAUCAUCGAUGAGCAAUCAUAAUCCUUCGAGGAUGGCUGUUGAUGCAGCACUUGGUGGGUCAUCUCUAACAUUUGCAUAUGCGGUUGUUAAAGAUCUCUGUGUGUACAUGAAGCACAGGAGAAGACACGUGAAAGAUUUACUGGACAAUCUUAAAUAUCUUGGAGAUGAAGCAGGUAUUCUUUAUGCCCGUUGGCAUGACAAUGAAGAAGAUAUCGAUCGUCGAGCAGCCUCCGUACAGAGAGGUCGACAACAUGAAGCGUGGAAGAAGGUAGUAUCCCGGUUGUUGGAUGAUUACAGUAAGAUAAUUGUGAAGUACAGAAAGAUGACAGGAGCAACUGGAAACCAAAGGCACCAGGAAGCGGAAGGCUCGAACAAAGCAGAUGUGGAUGACAGCAGCACAAAUGCACCGAUCCAAGAACUGCCGGAUAUUUCCCACUUAGGGAAGCACAAAUUAUGGACCCGAAAGUUCUUCAAGCUUGCAAGGCUCGAUAAAGAUGUUAUGAAGCUAAGGGAUAAAUUUGCUUCAGCCCGAAAAGACAUACCACUUGCGGAUUUAACACGUCCAGUGAAGCCAAAAGCUGUUAUAAGAAUGGAAGAUGCCAAAGACCUAGAUGUUGCGCCUUCGCAUCAAAACAAACUUGAUGAACUCCUUCGUGAACUGCUGCCCUGUGGAGUUGAGGCAGAAGCAGAAGCAGAAGCAGAGGCAGAAGCAGAAGUAGAAGCAGAGGCAGAAGCAGAAGCAGAAGCAAAAGCAAAAUUGAAGAGGAUUGCUAUCUGUGGAGAAGCGCAAGUUGGAAAAACAAAUAUCAUGAAGAACUUGAAUAACUGGUUUGAUUCAUGCCCUCCUUCAGCGAAACUCGACUACGUCAUUUGGGUGACUGUUCCAACUAAUCUGCACGAGAAAGAGGAUGUCAUCAAAACCAUACAAGAGAAUAUUCUUCGGCGUUUGGAGUUAACUGAGCAGAUUAGUACAAUUGAUAAGAAUAAAGAUACAAUAUCUACAGAAUUACGUGAAAAAUCGUAUUUGCUGCUUUUUGAGGGGUUUUCUUCAUCAAUUCAGCUUAGGGAGAUUGGAGUCUCCGAAGAACAUAAGCACGGGAUAGUCGUGAUUGAAACUACAGAUCCAGUUUUGCUGAGGAGUUUUGGUUUCGACCAAAAAAUCAAAGUAGAAAAAUUACCAUACAAUGAUUCGAGGAAAUUGUUUGAUAAGAUCAUGGAAGGUGAAAAACUAAGUAAAGAGUGCUGUGAUCUGGUUGGGCUGAUUCUUAAAGAGCUUGGCGGGCUUCCAGGGGUGAUCUCAUUCAUUGCGACGUUGCUAAAAAGCAAAAUAGAUGCAGAAUUUUGGGGAACUAUAAAGGACAAAUUAACAGCAGAUGUUGGUGAAUCUGAAGAUCUGGGACUAGGAGGAUUAUUUAAGGCUUUUGAGAUAGCUUAUGAAGGCUUGAAAGAGGAUCGUUGCAAAAGUUGCCUACUUUAUGCAGCAUUGUUUCCUAAAGACUUCACAAUUCCCAUUAAUGUUUUAGUCGAAUGUUGGAAAGCUGAAGGUUUUCUUUGCUGUCCUGCUCCUACAUUCCUUAAGGCCCGAGGAGAUGGAAUUUUCGUACUGCACAAGCUGACUGGGCAUUAUCUCUUAGAGAGCUGUUCUGAACAGUACGUUAAGAUGCCAAUACUCUUCAGGAGAUUUGCAAUUCGUACAACUUUCCCCGGGGAGGAAGUUGGAACAUCCUUUGUCAGGUCAGGUCCAAAGAUAGACGGACACCUAAAAGACGACGAAUGGAAGAUGGCCAGAAGGGUGUCUUUAAUACGAAGCCAAUUGGAGGAAUUACCUGUGAGCCUGGAAUGUGGGGGCAUAUCAACGCUAUUUCUGCAACUUAACCCAGACUUGAGAAGCAUUAAGGAACCGUUCUUCACAACUUUGAAGGAACUUCGAGUUUUGGACCUGCACAGCACCGGAAUACAAUUGUUGCCAUCCUCUAUCUCCUCCUUGACUGAGCUUCGCAGUUUAUACCUCAACAAUUGCGGUGACCUAACUGUGCUCCCAUCUAAAAUAGUGAAACUCACAAAGCUCGAAGUUCUUGAUAUUCGAGACACCUCAAUCCAUUGUUUACCAGAAGAAGUCAGCAGUUUGGUUGGCCUAAGGUGCUUAAGGUUUUCAUAUGCCCCGGGAAUGUGCAAUCCUAAUCCGAAGCCAAGAUUGUGGGAGCGUAUUGUGCGGCGCCCAAAUUAUCGCACAACAGGGAGAAGGGUAAUAUUUCCCCUCGGAGCAGCUGAUCAGCUUAGUAAGCUCGAGGAGAUGACUAUUGUCUUAGUAAAUGGAAGCAGUGAUCGCAUUGUUGAUCGAAUAGAAGCAGAGGUGCUUGAAUUUAAGAACAAAAAUAGUCAGUUUAAGUUAAUUCUUCACAGGCCAUACCAAUCACUGGACCAACGGAAUCCCGUCCAACUGAGGGGAGAGGGAAUAACCCUUCCGAAUCAAAGUGUUGCUGCCGUUCAUGAUCCAACAACAGGAAACCAGUCUCCGAGAUCAGAUAAUGAGGGCCGUUCUAGAGGUCGAACAACUAAUGCAAACUCUCAGGCAAGGAGGAAAGAUAAAGGGAAGGGACUUGCAAUUUUUAAGCCUAAAAAUAAAGCCCGGAAUAUUGGUGUGGUGAUAAGAGAGCCUUUAGAAACAAAUGGGAGUCGAGUUGAUAUUCAUGAAGAAGCCAAUGUUAUUGUUGAUCAGCAGGUAGAUAGAGCUACGGUAGAUGCUAUUGACCGGCCAAAAUUCUCGGAUGAAGCAAGUACUUCAGGAACUGCUCGUGGAGCAGACUAGCAUCUUUUUUAACAAGUUGUUCAGCGAAUUUCUUUGUUUUCCACUGUACAAAGGAGUGCAAGGUCCUUUCCAUGACUGUGGCUUUGCAAUAUGAUGUUACAGAGAUUGUCUGCAGGAAAAUUUUGAAAAGGGUGCAUUUGGAUCUUUAAUUGAUGAAUGAAUUUUCUACUAGAUCUAGAACUUGUAGCUGCCGGAUUUGGAUGCUGAACUGCUAAUAUUGGUUGCUGAGAUGGUGGAUUUGGCUAUUGAGACACUGGAUUGAAUGCUGAAUUGUUGGGAUUGGUAGAUUUGGCUGGUUAACUGCUAGAGUUUGCUACCGCUACUACUGCUGUUGAGUUCAUAAACCCUCCUCAUGCACUCUUUUGCCCUUUGUUUUCUUUUUGAAACUUUGUAUAAAUGGAAGUGUAUUGGUUAACAAAGGUAAGACAUU